rnacentral:snoRNA from 1 species
UGCCUCCAGAUUCCUUACCUCUCAGAACUAAUAUUGGUCUGAGUGGCUAAAAAGGAGGAAAAGUAAACUGAAAUGGACUUGGAUGGAGUCUUUAGUGCAAUACAAGUUCAUUUCAAAUAAAC